rnacentral:rRNA from 1 species
UACGUAGGGUGCAAGCGUUGUCCGGAAUCAUUGGGCGUAAAGAGCGUGUAGGCGGCCCGGUAAGUCCGCUGUGAAAGUCCAGGGCUCAACCCUGGGAUGCCGGUGGAUACUGUCGGGCUCGAGUCCGGAAGAGGAGUGUGGAAUUCCUGGUGUAGCGGUGAAAUGCGCAGAUAUCAGGAGGAACACCAAUGGCGAAGGCAGCACUCUGGGACGUGACUGACGCUCAUGGUCGAAAGCGUGGGGAGCAAACAGG